GUUUAUAUAGUUAUUUACUUAAUAAAAAUACACUGCAAUUGUAACUUAAAGUCUGCUAAACUGGAACAACUAACUUUGUACUUUAUUCAUUUGAAUUGUGCAGAAGUAGUGCAAGUAAAGAUACACUGAAGUUUAUUUGAUUGUGUUAAAGUGGGACUAUAGCAAUUAUACUUCAGGUACACUUGAAAUAUCUUGCAUUUAAAGACAUUAAAUAUUAUUCAGAGAUCAUACAAUCCUCAUCAACAGUGACAUUUAAACACACUGUAGGAUUAAUAUUGAGAGAUGUGCACUGUGCAGAAGUAGCACUACAAAUAAAGCUGAAAUAUAAAUGUUAUAAUAAAUUUUUUUUUUUUACUAGGGCUUGAAUCUAAACCCAAUUAAAAAGGUUAUUUACAUUACUUGUACUAGUAGUGUAUAUUUUAUUAUAGUUGUGAGUGCUUUUAAUCUACUGCUCUUUACAGUUUAUCUCUUAAUAUCACUGUAUCUGUUCACUCUGUGUAUGUUGUAUACUGUAACAGACAAUGACUUUCAGAAGGAAACCUGUUUCUCAAAGGGAGGUUUCUGUAACAGUGUUUUAAACUGAUCUCAUUAGUGUUCUCUAGACACUGAAGUACUCUGUGUGUUUGACAGGUUUGUGUCUCAUCUGAGGCCAACGACUGAUUAUCACAAAAGAUAAUGUUUUUGACAGUUUUGUUCAAUUGCUCACACACUAACAUUAGAACUUUCCCACAAUUAGCAAAACCUUACACUCAAGGAGCAAAACACCGGCCUAGAUUUGCACAACUGUAAGCACACUGUCAGCUUCACACUUUUUACAAAACAUUACACACAGUGAUUUGCAAAACACUAAAAACACUUGUAUGCAUUUGACACAGAAAUUUAUCAUGAUGUAAUUUCCUUGCAAUUUCAAAGCAAAGGCUUUCAAAUGAACACACCCAUGAACCAAAUGGUUAAACACAGGCACCAGGUGUGCACACAUCAGGAUAAAGCACUGGAUGGUGUCAGAGGAAGAGAGAGAGUGCGGAUGAGAGGGGGAAUCCAGAGAGUACCAGGAAGAGGGAGAGGGAGAGGAAGACCUGGAGGAGGGGUAGGACAUGCACAAAGAAGACAACCAAAUCUGUGUAACAAAAUUCGUACAAUUGUGGACCAUGUAAUAAACCACGGACUAACACUGAGGGAGGCUGGAUUGAGAGUAGUGCCUAACCUAAGCAGGUACACGGUGGGAUCAAUAGUUUGGACAUUUCCUCAAGAGCACAGUAAGCAAGAGAGAGAGAUCAUAAAUCAGUCUUCGAGAAAUUCAAGCCCAUAUCGUCAAUGAUCACCUAAUUUUCAAUAGUAUCCAACAGGUCUCUCUGUCAACAGUAGCCCGUAUCCUUAAAAAACAUCAAGUUCUGAUGAAACAACUGUAUAAAGUGCCAUUUGAAAGAAAUUCAGACGGUGAAAGUCCUGCGGCGUGAAUCUGUGGUGAGAGUUUUGCAAAUGGAUGCGGAGGAAGUCCCGCAUGAGUUUAUUUACAUUGAGGCUGGAUUUAACCGGACAACAGUACGAAGAAGGGGAAGAAACAUCAUCGGUCACGGGGCUAUUGUCAAUGUACCAGGGCAAUGUGGGGGUAACAUUACCCUUAGUGCUGCCAUUACACAGAAUGGGGUUCUCCACCGCCGUGCCAACUUGGGUCCUUACAACACUGAACUCAUUCUUACAUUUUUAGACGGAUUACACAAUAUCAUCACAGCAGCAAACCAAAGGGACCAGAUGCAAAUCAUUGCUAUCACAUGCUUCCUCCAAGCUAUGUGAUCAAAUUGAACCAGCAUCCAUACAAGGGUGGAUUCAUCACUCGAAAAGAUUCUUCCCACGUUGCCUUGCAAAUGAAAAUAUAGCCUGUGAUGUUGACGAGGCCCUGUGGCCAGAUCCAGCUGGCGGAGGUGUUUAGUGUUUCUUUUUUUCUGUACUGAACUGGAUAUGUAAUUUGUUACAGUAUUACUGUAAGCUCAGAGUACAAUGGUAUGUUCAGUAAUACUGUAAUAUAUGAAAACUGGAAAAUGUUUUGUUGAAAUGUUCAGUAUUGACUUGAGUACAUGAAAAUAAAUGAAUAUUUUCAUCAG